GAAUAUUGGACAAUGGGCGAAAGCCUGAUCCAGCAAUGCCGCGUGAGUGAUGAAGGCCUUAGGGUUGUAAAGCUCUUUUACCCGGGAUGAUAAUGACAGUACCGGGAGAAUAAGCCCCGGCUAACUCCGUGCCAGCAGCCGCGGUAAUACGGAGGGGGCUAGCGUUGUUCGGAAUUACUGGGCGUAAAGCGCACGUAGGCGGCUUUGUAAGUUAGAGGUGAAAGCCCAGGGCUCAACCCUGGAAUUGCCUUUAAGACUGCAUCGCUUGAAUAAUGGAGAGGUGAGUAGAAUUCCGAGUGUAGAGGUGAAAUUCGUAGAUAUUCGGAGGAACACCAGUGGCGAAGGCGGCUCACUGGCUCGAUACUGACGCUGAGGUGCGAAAGCGUGGGGAGCAAACAGG
rnacentral:rRNA from 1 species